AACGAACGCUGGCGGCGUGGAUAAGACAUGCAAGUCGAACGGAAUGAAUUGGUAGCAAUAUUAACUCAUUCAGUGGCGAACGGGUGCGUAACACGUGGGUCACAUUCCGAGAAGCAGGGAAUAGCCCAGGGAAACUUGGAUUAAUACCCUAUGUGAUCGCAAGAUCAAAGGCGCAAGCCGCUUUUCGAUUGGCCCGCGGCCUAUCAGCUAGUUGGUGGGGUAAUGGCCCACCAAGGCGACGACGGGUAGCUGGUCUAAGAGGACGACCAGCCACACUGGAACUGAGACACGGUCCAGACACCUACGGGUGGCAGCAGUCGAGAAUCUUUCACAAUGGGGAAACCCUGAUGGAGCGACGCCGCGUGGAGGAUAAGGUCUUCGGAUUGUAAACUCCUGUCAUGCGAGAACAAAGCCUCACGGCCUGAUAGUAUCGCAAGAGGAAGAGACGGCUAACUCUGUGGCAGCCGCCGACCGU
rnacentral:rRNA from 1 species